rnacentral:misc_RNA from 1 species
AAUGGUGUGAAUUUUUUAUGCAAUUCGCUUCAAAGAUAAGCGAGGACUACUUAUUUCUUCCAACUUCAAGGAAAAGGAAAAAACCAGUCUCACAUAUCUUCCAGUACUCUUGCUUGCAAAGAUUUACUCAUAGCUAGCUCCCUUUUUUGCAUCCAAGAUGAUUGAGCUCAAGCCACCUGGUUCUGUUGGCUGUGAUGAAUCCUUAGAGGCUAGCGCUUGCCAAUUCAUUGAUACUCAGCCUUCCUCCUUCGAAAUGGGUGACAUGGGGAAAUUUGUUUGCUAUUUCCAGAGAGGUGGAAAAGAGCUGGGAGUUGUUCUGCAAUGACAACUUCUUUGUUCUUUAAUGCUAUGAAAUUAUAUUUUUUUUACCUCUUGAUGAUGCUAUAUUAGCAUGAUUUUAAUUGUAAUAACAAUAUAUAUACGCAGAAAUGCCAUUAUAU